rnacentral:lncRNA from 1 species
ACGAUGAUUCACUCUCUGCUGUGGAUUGUUUGGAAAAUGGAAAUGUUUGUCGGAGCAACAACAACUGCAAACUCUGUGAGGAAACACCAUUAUAUCCACCAUAUGUCCCAGCUAUUCGUCCUCAAAUAUGGACAAUUAACUCCCAUAGUUUUGUCAAAUUUCAGACCACAGCACCACUCCUUCAUCACAACUUCUGGAGAUCUUCUAUUCAAAUUCCCGGCUUAAAGGAAAAGCCCAUCCUGAAGACGAAUGAAGUUUUUUUCAACCCAAGUCCAAAGGCUCCCCCUUGGCAUGAGGUCUGCACUUUAAUCCAACAGCUUGAGAGGGAAUGACAGCCGAAGACUUUCGCCAAAGCUAGUUCAUGACAGGAACCUCGACUUCUGCUCUGGCCAGACUGCAAGCAUUACAAGCGGAUAUAACGGCUCAAACUUCAGCCCUCUCACCCUCAUCCAGGUGGCAUCCGAGUUGCUCCAUGCCAAGGGAUUGAGAGGGAUCUACACAAUUGGACAGUCAGGAAUUUGGUUUGGAAAUGAACAAGCCCAGAGAGAGAGAGAGAGAUGAGGUGUUGACUUGAAGUUUUGAGACCGAAAGCUGGAUGCUUUCAAGAAGAUCUGCUAAUAUUGAAAACCGACAGAGAUUUAUGAGGGUGCAUUUGCGCAACAGUGUUUUUAACUAAAAGUGAAAAA